rnacentral:rRNA from 1 species
UACGUAGGGGGCAAGCGUUGUCCGGAAUCAUUGGGCGUAAAGCGCGCGUAGGCGGCCCUGUAAGUCCGUUGUGAAAGUCAAAGGCUCAACCUUUGAAAGCCGAUGGAUACUGCAGGGCUAGAGUCCGGAAGAGGCGAGUGGAAUUCCUGGUGUAGCGGUGGAAUGCGCAGAUAUCAGGAGGAACACCAAUGGCGAAGGCAGCUCGCUGGGACGUGACUGACGCUGAGACGCGAAAGCGUGGGGAGCAAACAGG